UACGUAGGGUGCGAGCGUUGCCCGGAUUCAUUGGGCGUAAAGCGCGCGCAGGCGGAUGCACGCGUCCCGCGUGAAAUCGCCCGGCUCAACCGGGCGGGGUCGCGGGAUACGGUGCGUCUGGAGCACGGGAGGGGGCAGUGGAAUUCCCGGUGUAGUGGUGGAAUGCGUAGAGAUCGGGAGGAACACCAGUGGCGAAGGCGACUGCCUGGACCGUGGCUGACGCUGAGGCGCGAAAGCGUGGGGAGCGAUCCGG
rnacentral:rRNA from 1 species